rnacentral:lncRNA from 1 species
CCCAGAACAAUGUCAUGUUCUUUGUGAUUAAAAAUCUUUAUGUUGGAGGAAACUGAGAUCCAGGAAUGCCGGGGAGGAACUCGCUUGAGCCCUGAACGAUGGCUGUAUGGAAACACACCUAGACUCUUCUCGCUUCAAUUGCAGCUGGAUACUUGUGGAGCGUUAGAGUUUUACCUGCGUGUUGGCUUCUGAGUGCUACGUAGAGGCUGGAAUGAGUUGAGAGAAGGACAAGCCAGUUAGAGGGAAGGCGAGUCAGAGCUUUGGAGGAAAGGCACAGGAGAUGGAGACUGUUUAGUCUAGAACGGCAUAAAGGCAUGGGAAGAAAAAGAGCUGGGAAGUUUGCAUGCCCAAGGAGGUUAUUAUAGCAUUCACGGUCACAAAAAUAUCUCUGAAUGGCUACGGGGCACAAAUAAUUUUAUUAGAUCUUGCAUCUCCAUAGAUAUGACAUGUCGUAGCCAGAGAGAGUUUGCCUUGACAAAAGAGAGAUUAUUAAAGAGUCAUACGAGAUCCUGAAUGAGCCCUUGUCAUACCCUUUCACAGGAACUCUUAGAAGCAGGAUCAACAGCCACCUCUAGCUUUGCAGGUGCCUCUGGCCUUGCACUUCAGGCAUGGAGACCGACAAGAUGGCGCCGGUCGGUGUUCAGGGGCAAAACUUGAAAAUCAAGGAGCUAGCCUGGAGCCAUGGAAGACCUGUGAGGGACUGCCAUGAAGCCAACAGUUCCAGGAUGAUGGAACUCUCAGGGAGGCAGGCCAGGCCAGUGGCUGCUUGGUAUGUCUGGUUUCAUCAGCUUCAUUAGCUCCAGCAUAUUAUUCUAAAAAAAUAGGAAGCCUGUGGUGGUGUGUAGUCCCAAGAGGAGGAUAUGCUUGCUACAUUGUACAUAUGUGUAGGUGCCGCACCUCAGGCCAGGCCCUCAGACCGUUAUUAUGUGUCAAGAAGUGAGUCCUAAAAUACUGACUGGCUGCAGAGAAAACAAAUUUGCCAUCUUGUGAGCUUAUUCUUUUUUUUCUUUCCUCCUUUCUUUCUUUUUAAAGACUAAAUAAAAUUAACUGCUUCCUACUAAAUACUUGAUUU